rnacentral:rRNA from 1 species
UACGUAGGGGGCAAGCGUUGUCCGGAUUUAUUGGGCGUAAAGAGCGUGUAGGCGGCCAGAUAGGUCAGCUGUGAAAACUCGAGGCUCAACCUCGAGACGCCGGUUGAAACCAUCUGGCUAGAGUCCGGAAGAGGAGAGUGGAAUUCCUGGUGUAGCGGUGAAAUGCGUAGAUAUCAGGAGGAACACCUGUGGUGUAGACAGCUUACUGGACCACUUCUGACGCUGAGACACGAAAGCGUGGGUAGCAAACAGG